UGGGGAAUAUUGGACAAUGGGCGAAAGCCUGAUCCAGCCAUGCCGCGUGUGUGAAGAAGGUCUUCGGAUUGUAAAGCACUUUAAGUUGGGAGGAAGGGCAUUAACCUAAUACGUUAGUGUUUUGACGUUACCGACAGAAUAAGCACCGGCUAACUCUGUGCCAGCAGCCGCGGUAAUACAGAGGGUGCAAGCGUUAAUCGGAAUUACUGGGCGUAAAGCGCGCGUAGGUGGUUUGUUAAGUUGGAUGUGAAAUCCCCGGGCUCAGCCUGGGAACUGCAUUCAAAACUGACUGACUAGAGUAUGGUAGAGGGUGGUGGAAUUUC
rnacentral:rRNA from 1 species